UUUAUAUUUACCAAAAUUCAUCCAAUUUGACAUAAUUUCAUCCAUAUAGUUUUUUAUCUAAUAGAAUUUAAUUUCAUAAUCAAUUUCCAUCUACAUGACUCAUCCAUAAUAGCUAAUUAAUGAACUUAUCAUAUCAUCCAAAUAAGAACCAAAGGUCGUUGGUACUUUUAAAUCUAUUGCUACACCUACCUUUACAAUUUAAUGUACCACAACUCAUUCGAAGCUUCAAAUUGAAUCCAACUAAUCUUGUUAAAAAGAAGACUUAAAGAUGUAUUGAUUUUCCAAAUUUUCCC
rnacentral:lncRNA from 1 species